rnacentral:rRNA from 1 species
UACGAAGGGGGCUAGCGUUGUUCGGAAUCACUGGGCGUAAAGCGCACGUAGGCGGAUGGGCCAGUCAGGGGUGAAAUCCCGGAGCUCAACUCCGGAACUGCCUCUGAUACAGCACGUCUUGAGUUCGAGAGAGGUGGGUGGAAUUCCUAGUGUAGAGGUGAAAUUCGUAGAUAUUAGGAAGAACACCGGUGGCGAAGGCGGCCCACUGGCUCGAUACUGACGCUGAGGUGCGAAAGCGUGGGGAGCAAACAGG